rnacentral:rRNA from 1 species
AUUGAACGCUGGCGGUAGGCCUAACACAUGCAAGUCGAACGGCAGCACAGUAAUAGCUUGCUCUUACGGGUGGCGAGUGGCGGACGGUUGAUGAAUACAUCGGAAUCUACUUUUUCUUGGGUGAUAACGUAGGGAAUCUUACGCUAAUACCGCAUACGACGUACGUGUGAAAGCAUGGGAUCUUCUGACCUUGCGCGAUUGAAUGAGCCGAUGUCGGAUUAGCGAGGUGGAGGGGUAAAGGCCCACCAAGGCGACGAUCCGUAGCUGGUCUGAGAGGAUGAUCAGCCACACUGGAACUGAGACACGGUCCAGACUCCUACGGGAGGCAGCAGUGGGGAAUAUUGGACAAUGGGCGAAAGCCUGAUCCAGCCAUACCGCGUGGGUGAAGAAGGCCUUCGGGUUGUAAAGCACUUUUGUUGGGAAAGAAAAGCAGCAGGUUAAUACCCCGCUGUUCUGACGGUACCCAAAGAAUAAGCACCGGCUAACUUCGUG